rnacentral:lncRNA from 1 species
AAAAGAAAGAAAAGAAACAGAAUAGAAGAGACGAAACAAAGAAAGAAACAGAGAGCAAAACGAGCAGAGAAGGAAGGAAAGAAAGAAAGAAAGAAAGAAAAAGAAAAAGGGAAAUUUGAGGUUUUAAGGUUCCAAGCUCAAUUGGUAAGUCAAAUUAAGUCAUUUUCUUAUAAUUUUUGAGUUUUUGGAAUCCUAGAGAUAAAUACUACUUGAUUUAUGUUGAUAUUUUGAAAGUUAGUAGAUCGUCAGACAUGAGUUAUGUUGAAUUAAUUGAUGAACUAGAGGUUAAAAUGAUUGAAUUUUAAGUUAGAAGUUAGUAAAAGAUUGAUUUGUAAAAUAAGAUAUAAGUUUUGAAUUGAUAGGGAUUAAAUUGAAAGAAUCCCGAAAUUAGGGAUUUAUGGGGAAAUUGAAGAAUUAAACUGAGUUUAUAGUAAGAAUUAAGAGAGAAUAUAGAGUUAGAAUGGAAAAAUAAAAUUAGUAUUGAUAAGGGAUUAAAUUAGAAUUUGGGUAAAGUUUAGGUAUACGGGAAAUAUUUUAAUGAAAUUGAGUAUUAAUGAUUUUUAAUUGUUUAAUUACGUAGCUAAUGUCGUGUACGAGUCAUUGCCCGAGAAAGGAGAAGGUGGACAAGGAUUGACUCGGGAGAAAUUUCGGUUAGUAUUAAUAUAAUUCGAAUUUAAUUAUUAAUUGUUAAAAUUUAAAUUAAUAUACAUAAUAAGAAAAUUGAGGUAAGCAUCCCGACUGAAUUGAAUGAUAAAUACGUAUUGGUAUUGAAUUUAUUAAUAGUAAUUGUUGAAUUUUGAAUAAUAUGUUUAGUAUAAAAAAAAUAGAUGAAUAUUGAUAUUGAAUUGUACAUGAAUUUGAUUAGAAAAUGAAUUAAAAAUAUAUAUAUGAAUGGAAUAAAAGUGAAUUAAAUUGUGAAUAAGUGUGAUAUAUGUGAAUGGUGGAAUAAGUAGUAAAUUGUAAUGACGGAGAAAUGAUAAAUCCUUUUUGAAAUAAUUUUGUAAAGUAUUUAAAUAAAUGAGAUUCAGAUUUAAUGCCCAAGUAGAUGGAAUUUAGAACUACCAGGAUAUUAGUGGCAUGCCAUUAAGGAACUUAUUAAGGAACUUUAGUGCGCUCUCUGAUAUUAGCACGUUGGUGCUCUCUGAUAUUAGCACGUUGGUGCUCUCUGUUUAGCACAUUUGUGCUCUCUGUAUUUGUUCCGUAUAUCCGGGGUGUUCUGUAAAAUCUACUUUGGGCUAAGAUUAUAAGCUGUGGACAAAAGUGAAUCAUUAAUAUGUUAAGGUAUGUUUUAUAAAGUUUAUAUGUACCGUUUUAGGUAUAAUGUGCCGUAUUGGUGUGUUUUGGUUAGAUCCGUGUAUCCGCCAAGGUCCGAGACAAGUUAAUAGGGGUAAAUGAAUAAUUUUGAUAAUAUAAAUUUUUAUUGAAUGAUCUUGAAUAUGAAUUGAAAUAGCUAUUGUUAAGAAAUGAGAAGUGAAAAUAAAAUAAUUUGAAAGAGUGAAAUAAUAUGUGAAUUUAAUUGAAUACAAGUUAUUGAAAUUUAGUUAUGGAUUUAAUGAAUAAAUUGAGUGUUAAAAGAUUUAAAGUACAUAUUGAAUAUAAAUAGAAUGGAUAAUGAAUGAGUUGAUAAAUUGAUUGAAUUUGUAUGAAUUGGAAUGAGAUGUGAAAAAUUCCAUGAAAUUGAGAUAGUGGAAUAAGGUAUAAAUACAAUUAAAUACAAGAUUUGAAUUAUUGCUUAUUGUUAUUAAUUAUCAAGUUGAUUUAAUGUAUGAGAUAAUUAAUGAAUAAUUGUAGACAUAAAUAAAAUAUAUAUAAUUUAUCAAUUAAUGUUAUUAAUUUGAAUUAUGGUAAUACCACUGAGUAUUCCCAUACUCAGCGUACAGUUGUUUCCGUGCGCAGGAUUGUAGAAAACUAGUGUUCGAUUCAGCAUCCAAAGUAAUCCCGACCUCAAAGACAUUUUAGUGAUGUACCUUUCUGUUGAUAAUGUGGCAUGUACCUAGGUAAUUUAUAUACCUAAGUGAUGUAUAGGGAUUAGUCAUUUUGAAUGUUGUAUCUAUGAUAUUGGUAAAGAAAGAUGUGUGAGUAUGUGAUAAUGUUUGGCUUUUAAAAUGGUUAAGUAUGAAAAUCAAGAAAGGGUAAAUUUUGCAAAGAAACAGAAUUCAGACAGCAAUAGCGACGUAACUUUGAAAAAUCACCUAAGAUAGUAUAAAAUGAAUUAGAGGGUGAAUGAUAUAUGAAAUUAAAUAUUGUUGAGUCUAUUUUUAUAGAAAAAUAACUGUUUAGCAAAAAGAAAUUUAUAUUUUAAGAUAUAUGAAUUUUAGUGAGACAGGGUCAGAAUUGUUUCUGGAGUCCCCUGUUCCGAGUUUAGAAAAUCACUAAAAAUGGUAUAAAAAUAGUUAUGAGUUGUAGUUUAUAUGUAUAGAAUCCUUAUUGAGUCUAUUUUCUGUAGAAACAAGUGGUAAUAUCAUAUGGAAAUCCUAUAGUGAGAAUUUAUUUUUAAUACCAAGGGGUCAGGACAGUUGAGUGAAGAAACAGGGGAGACUUUAACUAAUAAACUGUACUAAUUGGCCAAACCAAAAAUUCUGAAAAUUUUAUGGUAGAAAUAUAUAUGAAUCUGGUUUCAGGGAAAAUUUACGGAAUUAAAUUUUGAGUCUCGUAGCUCGAGUUAUAAUCAAUUUAGUAACUGCUGCGCGAUUAGGCAGAUUACUGUAAACAGUGAAAUAAAUUUUCAAAACGAAUUUUUAUGCCCCGAAUUAGUAAGAUAAGUUAGGUAAUGCUUCGUGCUCGACUUCGGAAACGGUCUCGGGUAAGGGGUGUUCCAAACUAUAUCCCGACUUAGCCCGACUAGUUAAUAGGGUAUUCAAAUUCUCAAUUCACUUUCAUUUCCAAUUCAAGAUCAUUUUUCCACUUUCUAAUCAAUUAACAAUUUAAUACCAAUACAUAUAUCAAAUAAUCACAUAUAACCAUAUUUCGAUUCAAUUCAAACCACUUUUCAAUCAAUACACAAUUCACAUACUCACACAUAUUCAUAAAUUAUUUCACUUUAUUUAAUUCAUAUUUUAAAUUCAUUUUCCAAUCAAAUUCAAAUCACUAAUUACUUUUCAAUCAAUAUACAUUUCACUACUCACAUAUUUCCAUCAUUCGAUUCAAUUUGAUUCAAUUCAAAUCACUAUUAUCACUUCAAUUGCUUACCUAAUUUUACUUACCAUGCAUUUAAUUAAAAUAUAACAAUUAAUAAUAACUAAAUUUGAAUUAUAGUAAUACAAACCCGAAUUUGCUCGAUUAUUCCUCAACGACCUUCUCCUUCCCUUUUUGUGCCGAUACCUCGAAUUCUUU